UACAGAGGGUGCGAGCGUUGUUCGGAAUUACUGGGCGUAAAGCGCACGUAGGCGGCUUUGUAAGUUAGAGGUGAAAGCCCAGGGCUCAACCCUGGAAUUGCCUUUAAGACUGCAUCGCUUGAACAUCGGAGAGGUAAGUGGAAUUCCGAGUGUAGAGGUGAAAUUCGUAGAUAUUCGGAAGAACACCAGUGGCGAAGGCGACUUACUGGACGAUUGUUGACGCUGAGGUGCGAAAGCGUGGGGAGCAAACAGG
rnacentral:rRNA from 1 species